rnacentral:rRNA from 1 species
UACGGAGGUGGCAAGCGUUGCUCGGAAUCACUGGGCGUAAAGGGCGCGUAGGCGGGGAGGUAAGUCGGGUGUGAAAUCCCUCGGCCCAACUGAGGAACUGCGCCCGAGACUGCUUCUUUUGAGUCCCGGAGAGGAAGAUGGAAUUCCCGGUGUAGCGGUGAAAUGUGUAGAGAUCGGGAGGAACACCGGUGGCGAAGGCGGUCUUCUGGACGGUGACUGACGCUGAGGCGCGAAAGCGUGGGGAGCAAACGGG